UAUAAAGAAAAAGUAAUAGCCUACAAAUUCUGAAUAAAUUCUCAUUGGUCCAUAAGAAAUGUAUCAAACACAUAAGUAGUUUCUUCUUCUUCUUCUUCUUCUUUAAGGUUUAUUGGUGGUUGACAAACAACGAUUUGGUGCAUUACUAUUUGGUGUGGAUCAUUCUGGCUAAUAAUUACUCAUCCCAAAAAAAUAAAUAAAAUAAAAAAUAAAAUAAAAAUAAAAAUAAAAAUAAAAAUAAAAAUAAAAAACAUAAGUAGUUUUAAUUGCCCUCUUAUUCUUAAUGUUUCUUAUUUGUGGUUUUUCAAUUGACCUGUCGGCCCACCUGAUGUUGGAACAGCCCAUCUGAUUAGGGGUCCUAAAAUUAUCAAUAGGUUACCUACGGCAGGUGCAGUCAGUGGUACCUCCCCCCACCCUUUCAAGUGGAUCCGUCCAUCAUGUAAUGUCAGAGGUCUGUCAGGAAGUAAUCAAAUUAAAUCAAGACAGCUGAGUUGAAUGUGAAAAGACAAACGAAAUGAAAAGGAGUUAAGAGUCUGGACAGAUGAGGAGCAGCAGGCCAAAGACCACCCAGCAGGAUCUUCAUGCAGCUGUCUCGAAACUUUUUCUGGUGCACCUCUGCCCCACAAAUGGAGCCAUCAGCAGGAGGCAUCUUCACCAUGCGCUCUCUCCUCUUCAUGCCAAGACCACAGGUGGCACUGCAGACAUCCCAUUCACCCCACUCUGUAACCAGACAACUGCUAGGAGCUAAGGCCAAGAGGGAAAGACAAGGGUGCAGAGUGAGCCAUCAUCAGGGAACUGCUUCACGUAACGCUCCCGGGAACGUGUGCCCAUCCCGCAAGAUAAACUACAGGGAGACCAGGUGAUCCACUCUGACAACAUACAGGUGGAAGCAUCUAAAGAGGAAAAUGACCAAGAGGAAGAUGUCAGCAAGCUUCAAGAGAGGGUGCUUACAUCCACAUCAGACGAACCAUGUAGGAGUAUAGCCCUUUUUAUACAUAGUCUCUCCAAGAUAUUAUUUUCAUGCCAUUGAUAAUAUGUGUAGGCAGCCAGCCAGGCUACGCUGAAGGACACCAGCGUGAUGUGUUAUGUGCACCCACAGCAGGAGUUACUUUCAGUAUAUUUGAAUAAAUGAGCAGUUUUAUUGAGGCAUAUUUUAUUCUAUUUCAUUUUCUGUUCUUUUAUUUGCUGGAUUUUAUUUAACUGUAGUGCUGAAUUGUGUUAAUCUUUUUUCCACCCUUGCAGUACUCUGUAACUUACUUUUAAAAGGUGCUAUAUAAAUAAAGUUGACCAUAUUAUCAUAAGUAUGGGUCUCAAUAUUUCUCCAUAUUCAGCAUUCAAGGUGUAAAACAUGGCACAGAUAAUUAACCUCUUAAAGCACAAUCUGUCCUAGCUGAUUAACCUUAAUGGGCAACAACGAUUGGUUUCAUCAUUACAUCAUGUGAACUGAUUAAUAUCAGUCAUCCAUACUUAUGAUGGACAUCUUGGUCAAAGGAAACUUUCACUUUGCGACAGGUCAGGGGUCAUCUAAGUCAUUAUGUUUCAUUAGUCAUUACUAAUAACAACAAUUUGGUCUAAUCUAAUGACUCAUUAUUGAUUAAAUUGUUGAACACAGAGUGACAGACUGACUGAUCUACAUGGACACACAGCCUGCUGCCGCUGAGGCAAAAAUGAUUGUAGGGAGAGAGGAUGAAAAAUGUAAAAGGAAAUAAACCUUGAACAACCAGCAGACAUAAUUACUUUCCGUCUUAACAUUUUACAAACUAUAUUUAAUGGCCUCAUGUAAUUUAACCUGACUUGCUAUAAAAAUUUAAAAGCCUGCCAUAUAAACAAAGUGCUCUCCCUGCCUCUCCUCCUGCUCUCACUUCAUCGCUGCAGUAGAAUAGUACCUCGGGUAUUAUCGAUGGCCUGAUACGAUAAAGUUUUUGAAAGUGCCAACACUUUUCAGAGUGUCAAAACAAUGGAAGCAAUAAACCUAAUAUUUCAAUUCUCAAAGAUUAAAAGUGCUCGUAAAGGCGCUUAGUGGAUGCUGCGCCUCUAGAAAUUAAUUAAAUUGACUUCUAAAUUAAUUCAGAGGUCUUUUACAUCAUCAGCUACAUGGACUAUUUUGUUUUUCUCGUGGACACAGUAACCUUCA